UCGUCCUUACAGCUUUGAAAAUCAUGACACUUGUCCCCUUCACCAUCUAUCCAGUAUAACUCCAGUGAUCCUUGACUUUGGAGUGUCACCGAGCCAGCGUUGUUUCUUGGUGUCCUCUUUCCUGUUUGACUUAAAUUACUAACCAGUUGAGAGCACUUGCAGUACCUAUGACCACACAAGUGACCUGCUUGGAACUGUGCUUCUGGAACCCAGGCAUCUGUGCACCAGGCACACUGUUUUGAGUCACAUGGAAGCAGACUGCUUACAAACAGGAAUGUGUGUGUGCCUUCUCUUGAUCAGGUCCUGAGCAGUGGCUGGGUUACUGGUUCAGUGCUCACUACAGCGUGUACUCUUGGGACAUGUGUGGUGACUGCAGUUGUUUAGCCCUCUGCCCUAUACUAACACAUUGUGGAAAUCCCUGUCCUGUAAUGUAGAGUUGCCAGAUGUCGAAGGCCAUUCCUCGAGCUGUCUUCCUAAUGACGAACAUAAACUGUGCAGGGAAGACUGUGAAGCCUAGGCCAAGGCUCCAGGGAUGUGCAUGUCUUGAGUCUUCGUCCAGGCCAUGCUAGGUGGGACACAGAGGCUUUUCCAGACUUCCCAGAGUGCAGACCUCAAGUAUGGAGCGUUGGGAAGCACCCAGCCUUGGAGUGCAGCCUGGUAUCUGAGUUCUAGCCUGUCCUACAUGUAGUCUGACCCCCAAUCGGCUCGACUCCUCUUGCCUUUGCUUACACAAGUUUACACCAGGAUACUCACACAGACGUUAAGAUCAAACUUUGGAUCAUACAGUGAAGACCUAUUGAUGAUGCCCUGAUGGUUGCUGUUACUGCUUGUGUACUGAAUGUAUUUUCAUUCUGUUCCCUGUGCUCUCCCUAUGUACAUGUGGGGUUACAGUGAUGAGAGAGAGUAUUUCUUUUGUAUGGAUUGCAGUGCGUAUGGCAUGACCCGAGCCACAGUCACUUCUUAGGAAGGGUCCCCUUCCUGAGUUGAUAGCAAGCAGUAAGCCCAGUCACAGUUUGCAGCAUCCUUCUGACCUCUGAGUUGUCAAUGGCAACAUGGGGUGAGGUGUUGUGUUACGCCGAGGAUUCUUUGGACAGCUGCCAGUUUACUACUCUUGGCACCAUGUAAAAGCAUUUGCAAACUUUGUUUCUUUUCUACAGGUUAACAUGGCUCCCAGAGGGCCCCCUCCGUUUCCAGGGGUACCUCUCUUUGGUGACCCUUUGAGAAGUCCGGUGCCACCACCCUAUCCUUAUGGACCACCUCCUCAGCCAUGGGGGCCUUUUGGGCCUCGGCCAGUGCCUCCACCAUUUGUUCCAGGCAUGGGUGCACCACUAGGCAUAAGAGAGUAUCCACCAGGUGUUCUACCCGGGAAAUGGGACCUGCCUGUUGACCCUCGGCAGUUUUUACUAGGACACGCACCAUUUAGACCUCCAGGUUCACUUGGUCCAAGAGAAUUUUUUAUUCCUGGUACCCGUUUACCACCUCCAACCCAUGGUCCUCAGGACUACCCGCUGCCACAACCUGCUGCAAGAGACUUACUGCCUUCCGGCCCAAGAGAGGAAGCCCCACCUGUCUCUCCAAGCAGUGUCCAAGACAGUUCACCGCCUUCAAAACCUAACCCCUAACUUUGUCCUCUAUCACUGAGUCAGAGUGGAAGAGAGAGCGGACAUUGCAUUGUUCAUUAAAGCAAAGAAUUCCAUCAGCUUCAUAACCUAAAUUCUUGCUUAAAAAACAUUUUAGUACUAAGCAGCCUUGGCAGUGUGCAUUUUUGAGCCAAACAAAAUUAUAUUCUUCCUUGUACAUAAAAAAACAAAAAACAAAACUCA